rnacentral:rRNA from 1 species
GGGGAAUCUUCCGCAAUGGACGAAAGUCUGACGGAGCAACGCCGCGUGAGUGAUGACGGCCUUCGGGUUGUAAAGCUCUGUUAAUCGGGACGAAAGGCCUUCUUGCGAAUAGUUAGAAGGAUUGACGGUACCGGAAUAGAAAGCCACGGCUAACUACGUGCCAGCAGCCGCGGUAAUACGUAGGUGGCAAGCGUUGUCCGGAAUUAUUGGGCGUAAAGCGCGCGCAGGCGGAUUGGUCAGUCUGUCUUAAAAGUUCGGGGCUUAACCCCGUGAUGGGAUGGGAACUGCCAAUCUAGAGUAUCGGAGAGGAAAGUGGAAUUCCUAGUGUAGCGGUGAAAUGCGUAGAUAUUAGGAAGAACACCAGUGGCGAAGGCGACUUUCUGGACGAAAACUGACGCUGAGGCGCGAAAGCCAGGGGAGCGAACGGGAUUAGAUACCCCGGUAGUCCUGGCCGUAAACGAUGGGUACUAGGUGUAGGAGGUAUCGACCCCUUCUGUGCCGGAGUUAACGCAAUAAGUACCCCGCCUGGGGAGUACGACCGCAAGGUUG